rnacentral:rRNA from 1 species
UGGGGAAUAUUGCACAAUGGGCGCAAGCCUGAUGCAGCCAUGCCGCGUGUAGGAAGAAGGCCUUCGGGUUAUAAACUUCUUUCCUCGGGGAGGAAGCGAGUAACGUUAAUACCUUUGUUAGUUGACGCUACCCGCAUAAGAACCGCCGGCUUACUACGUACCAGCAGCGGCGGUAAUACGGAGGGUGCAAGCGUUAAGCGGAAUUACUGGGCGUAAAGCGCACGCAGGCGGUUUGUUAAGUCAGAUGUGAAAGCCCCGGGCUCAACCUGAUAAGUGCAUUUGAUACUGCGAAGCUAGAGUAUCGUAGAGGCGGGUAGAAUUCCAGGUGUAGCGGUGAAAUGCGUAGAGAUCGGGAGGAAUACCGGUGGCGAAGGCGGCCCCCUGGACGAAGACUGACACUCAGGUGCGAAAGCGUGGGGAGCAAACGGG